UAAAUGAUUCACAUAGUAGAACCUGUUAUUGGCGUUUUGGACUCAACUGGAAGGACUUGGUGAACG
rnacentral:tRNA from 11 species